rnacentral:tRNA from 1 species
CGUAGCUCAGCUGGAUAGAGUACUCGGCUACGAACCGAGCGGUCGGAGGUUCGAAUAAUCCCG